rnacentral:rRNA from 1 species
AGUGAACGCUGGCGGUAGGCCUAACACAUGCAAGUCGAACGGCAGCACAGUAAGAGCUUGCUCUUACGGGUGGCGAGUGGCGGACGGGUGAGGAAUACAUCGGAAUCUACUUUUUCGUGGGGGAUAACGUAGGGAAACUUACGCUAAUACCGCAUACGACCUACGGGUGAAAGCAGGGGAUCUUCGGACUUUGCGCGAUUGAAUGAGCCGAUGUCGGAUUAGCUAGUUGGCGGGGUAAAGGCCCACCAAGGCGACGAUCCGUAGCUGGUCCGAGAGGAUGAUCAGCCACACUGGAACUGAGACACGGUCCAGACUCCUACGGGAGGCAGCAGUGGGGAAUAUUGGACAAUGGGCGCAAGCCUGAUCCAGCCAUACCGCGUGGGUGAAGAAGGCCUUCGGGUUGUAAAGCCCUUUUGUUGGGAAAGAAAAGCAGCAGGUUAAUACCCCGCUGUUCUGACGGUACCCAAAGAAUAAGCACCGGCUAACUUCGUG